UACGUGAGGGGGCAAGCGUUGUCCGGAAUCAUUGGGCGUAAAGAGCGUGUAGGCGGCCCGAUAAGUCCGCUGUGAAAGUCCAGGGCUCAACCCUGGAAUGCCGGUGGAUACUGUCGAGCUAGAGGUAGGUAGGGGAGACUGGAAUUCCUGGUGUAGCGGUGAAAUGCGCAGAUAUCAGGAGGAACACCGAUGGCGAAGGCAGGUCUCUGGGCAUUAACUGACGCUGAGGAGCGAAAGCAUGGGGAGCGAACAGG
rnacentral:rRNA from 1 species